GCAAAAACCCUUUGCAACCCACCUGACAACUGGGCUUUUAUUUACUAAGCGAAUCCAGAGCAACUUUGGACAAUUUCUGUGCUUUAUUAUCUGCGCUAAUUUAGUUGUCAUGUUUUUUUCUGAGGAAAACUGACAGGGACGAUCCCACUUGAAAUAACAAUAAUUGGGGACAAUUAUAUUCAUAUUACAUGACAAAAAAAAAUAGUUUAUUUAUGGAGAAGUUAUACAUUGCCAAACAAAGAUUAGAAUUACAUAUUUAGAUAAUUAAAUUUAAUGCCAAUAUUAUUAGAUUCCAUGCAAUAAAAAAAAUGUACAUGCAAUAUAUUUGCGCCCAAUUUAAUUAAAUAUUAUCACUUUUUUUUUAAAUCAGCAUUUUAUUAAAAUUCAAAUAAACUGAUGUGGAAUUAAUUUAAUAAUCUAGAUAGGUUGGCAAUUGAUGCCAUAUGGUGUUCACACCCUGUGAAUGUUGAUUUUUGUAUUGUAAUUAUUGCCGAUUAAUCGCAUCCAAAAUAAAAGUUUUUGUUUACAUAAUAAAACACUUGUUUGGAUGCAAUUAAUCAUUUCAUCACCUCACAGAUCACUGUUUUAAGAUUAAUAGCCAGCAAUAUCAAAAUACUCCGGAUGGUUAGACAUCGGACAGAAUUACGAAAUGUUUCUCGACAGCAUUUAACCGGGAAAACUACAUACAGCUGAAGAGUUAAACUACACAGAUUGCAAAUGCUCACAGGUUUGAGUGGGAUCCCUAGCCCUGGAGAAUCUCUGCGUUUCUACUUAGCCAGGUUUUUGAAGAACAGCUGGAAGGAGUUCCUCUUCUCCAGCUUGUGGGCAUGUUUGGGGAGGCGUUCUCUGUGCUUUCGGCUGAUUUGUUGUCCGGGGUCGCUUGCGGUGACUCUUCUUUGGCCUUCGCAGGUGGAGCAGCUUCUGCCGCAGGAGGAGCAGCUGGAGUCUCCUUCUUGGGCUCUGCUUGGGUUUAAACAUGCUUCCAAAAGUGGAUUUCUUCUCUGGUUUCUUCUCCUCUGGUUUUGGUGCUGGAGGAUCUUCAGGUUUUGCAGCGGCCUCGAGAGUGCUGCUCUUAGACGCGUCGACCUGAUGUGUCAGAGAAAGAUCAGAGAAGACUCUGUGUGAGAUAUACACAGAACAGUGAUUGACUGAAGAAGACGCUCAGUCUCUCUUUCCCUCUCCUUUGCUCUAGUUUGCAACCCUGUUAACAAAAUUAAUUGUUAAGUUGCAUGUAAACCCAUAUGGCAUAAAUAUUUGCUAUAUAUAUGUUGCAAAGAUCAAUGAAAUAUAUUUUUAAAAUAUAAAAUAUAUUUCGUUUUUUAUUUCAUAUAUUUAUAUAUUUCUAAAAUAUAUUUCUAAAUUUAUUUUGGAGCAAGAAAAUACAUUUCCAGUCUCACAGAAGUCUACAUUUAGGCUAAAUACAAAGGUGGAUGGUCUUCUAGAGUUUAAAAAGAAAAUGUUUAUUAUUUAUUAAUAAUGUUUAAUAUUUUAUAUAUAUUGCAAUAUUGCAUUUUUUGGAGCGUUUUAAAUUAUUUUGCUCGCUGAUUUUUAUUCAAAUGUUUUAAAUGUUUGCAUGUGUUAACAGAUUCAGCUUUUCUUCAAAUGUAAAUGCAUUUUUAACAUGCAAAAAAUAUAUAAAACAUGCAAAAAAUGGCCAAUAUCUUGGUUAAAAAUAUAUUUACGUUUAGAUUUUUUAAAAUAUUUAAAAAUAUAAUUGAAUAUAUGUUACAAGUAAAAUAAACCCAUAAACUUGUUUGAAUGGUUCAUCUUUAUGAAAACAAUCAAAACCAUAAUUUGUGUGAAAAUUUACACUCCACCAAGGUUCGGACACUGUCACAUAAUUAAAAUAUUUGAUAGAUAUUAACAAAAAAUUAAAAGACAAAUGAUCAUGCUACGUUAGAGUAUAGUUCAUCCGAUAUAUCUUCAGUAAUGCAACACUGUUUUAUAACCUGUUCAUAGAAAGUGCCAUGCACAGAAGUGUAAAUAGUAGAUGAAUGGUUUUAUUCAGGAAGACAGUCCCACCACCGUGAAGCCCACAAAGAGACAAUCGAUCAGCUGAAUGUAUUUACCUGCACCUCAACCGGCUUUUUCUCUUCCACCACAACAGGCUGCAGGCAAGCACAUAUUGGCAUUAAAUUUUGCAAUAAUCUACAAUUCCUACGGCACUUUACGCUGGCCAUUUAUUCUAGCAGGGACAAAUACUAAGUCACCGGUUACACAAAGCCUUUACAAGAGCCUCCAGUCGCUGAAUAAAUCUGAUGUCAGUUAUGAAUCGGUGAGUCACAUGGUUUGUCUGGCAGCUGUGAUGUCAUGAUAUCACCAUAAUGGACCUUCACUGAUUCAUUCAUUAUUUCCAAUGAGUUUUCCACUAAUUAAAUAAAUGCUACAUGGUAUAAUGCCUUUGUGUGAAAACACUGCAAAGACUGGGUAGAAAUAUGUAAUCUGAUUCUGCAGUAAAUGCUGCUCCACAUAAACUGUGAGUUUAAAUGCAACAUGCAUAAAAAAUCUUCCCAAACUCGUAAUGACAAUGGUUUAUAAAUACGUUGUUAACGAAAGAAAUGCAUUUCAAAAGAAACAUUUCUCUGCUGUUUUCCACCAAAAUAAAAGCCCUAUGGUUUAACAUUGGAAAGCAAACAAAAAAACAACAACAAAAAAAAGGUAACACUUUAGUAUAGGUUCCAAUUCACACUAAUAACUAGUUGCUUAUUAGCAUGUCUAUUAUUAGCAUAUUGGUUGUUUAUUAGUGCUUAUAAAGUACAUAUAAUGCAUGACAUCCAUAAUCCUACCCAAUACCCUAAACUUAACAACUACCUUAUAAACUAUUAAUAAGCAGCAGAUAAGGGGUUAAUUGAGGCAAAAGUCAUAGUUAAUGGUUAGUUAAUAGUGAGAAUUGGACCCUAAAAUAAAGUGUGACCAAAAAAAACAUAAAUAGUAGUACUGCUUAGGGUUUAUAAUGCUUUUGAAUGCUUGAAAUUCAAUGUAGUGUAUUUUACUUAUUAACUUCACUUUUUAGAUGAAAUAAGCCUAAUUGCUUUCGCCGUUUAUAUGAAACGAGAACAACUCGUGUGUGGCUGUGGUGUAAUCUGUCAGUCUUUUUUGAAGGGAGAUAAAAACAUAUCGGGAGGUUCCUGCUUCAGUCAGUGUUGCCACCAAUGCCCUCCAAAUUCAAGAUAAGGGUGCAGGGUUGCCCCAGCUCAGUAAACUAAAUCUAAGAAGGCUGUCGUUAUUAAGUUAAAUGUAAACAUGAAUGAAGAUGUUGACUGUGGCAUUACAUUUUGAUCUGCUGACGGUUUUUUUUUUUUUUUUUAGCGCUGAGCAUUAGAACCAGUCACAUGUUUUUUAUUUCUAUUGAAAAAAAAAUGGUUUAUAGGCUGAAAUGGGGAAAUUAUAAUUUUAUAACUCUUUUUGUUGUGGUGAAAACCGGUCUCUGAACUGUACAUCCUGCUUUUCUGCAGUCAUUUCACAGUUUAAUAUGCUACCAUAGACAUUGCCCUGCCCCCCUUAUACAAUAUUCAUUUUAUUUGUUUUAAAAUGAUCUUAAAAGCCUUACAUUUGAGGGUAACACUUAAGUAUAGGGUCCAAUUCACACUAAUAACUAGUUUCUUAUUAGCAUGUCUAUUAUUAACAUAUUGGCUGUUUAUUAGUGCUUAUAAAGUACAUAUAAUGCAUGACAUCCAUAAUCCUACCCAAUACCCUAAACUUAACAACUACCUUAUAAACUAUUAAUAAGCAGCAAAUAAGGAGUCAUAGUUAAUGGUUAGUUAAUAGUGAGAAUUGGACCCUAAAAUAAAGUGUGACCGAUUUGGGUUAAAAAAUCCUACAGAUACCCUGUAUUACAAUAUCAAGAGCGAUCAAAAAAUAAUGAUUAUCUCAUAAUAUUGCAGCGCUAUCCUAUGAUAAAAUCUUUCUUUUUUUAAUUAUAUAUUUUAUGUUGGCUAUUUAGAUUAUGCAAUGUUAUAUGCAAUUCAGACAGGUAAUACAUUCUGAACCAUAAAAGUGCUGAAAAAGCUUGAAAAUGCACAUUUUAAUCAAUACUUCUUUUAAUAAUAAUUAUUAUUAUUAUUUACGUUAAAAU
ensembl:lncRNA